rnacentral:rRNA from 1 species
CGGCGUCGAGCGGCGGACGGGUGAGUAAUGCCUAGGAAAUUGCCCUGAUGUGGGGGAUAACCAUUGGAAACGAUGGCUAAUACCGCAUAAUGCCUACGGGUCAAAGAGGGGGACCUUCGGGCCUCUCGCGUCAGGAUAUGCCUAGGUGGGAUUAGCUAGUUGGUGAGGUAAUGGCUCACCAAGGCGACGAUCCCUAGCUGGUCUGAGAGGAUGAUCAGCCACACUGGAACUGAGACACGGUCCAGACUCCUACGGGAGGCAGCAGUGGGGAAUAUUGCACAAUGGGCGCAAGCCUGAUGCAGCCAUGCCGCGUGUGUGAAGAAGGCCUUCGGGUUGUAAAGCACUUUCAGUCGUGAGGAAGGUAGUGUAGUUAAUAGCUGCAUUAUUUGACGUUAGCGACAGAAGAAGCACCGGCUAACUCCGUGCCAGCAGCCGCGGUAAUACGGAGGGUGCGAGCGUUAAUCGGAAUUACUGGGCGUAAAGCGCAUGCAGGUGGUUUGUUAAGUCAGAUGUGAAAGCCCGGGGCUCAACCUCGGAAUAGCAUUUGAAACUGGCAGACUAGAGUACUGUAGAGGGGGGUAGAAUUUCAGGUGUAGCGGUGAAAUGCGUAGAGAUCUGAAGGAAUACCGGUGGCGAAGGCGGCCCCCUGGACAGAUACUGACACUCAGAUGCGAAAGCGUGGGGAGCAAACAGGAUUAGAUACCCUGGUAGUCCACGCCGUAAACGAUGUCUACUUGGAGGUUGUGGCCUUGAGCCGUGGCUUUCGGAGCUAACGCGUUAAGUAGACCGCCUGGGGGAGUACGGUCGCAAGAUUAAAACUCAAAUGAAUUGACGGGGGCCCGCACAAGCGGUGGAGCAUGUGGUUUAAUUCGAUGCAACGCGAAGAACCUUACCUACUCUUGACAUCCAGAGAACUUUCCAGAGAUGGAUUGGUGCCUUCGGGAACUCUGAGCAGGUGCUGCAUGGCUGUCGUCAGCUCGUGUUGUGAAAUGUUGGGUUAAGUCCC